rnacentral:lncRNA from 1 species
AAAAGGUGGAGAUCUUCCCUCCAUCAGCUCACUCUGCUUCAACAUAACUUCAUACACUACGGUGAUUCUCUACAGAGGUAGGAAGACUAAGUCAACAUGAAAACCUUGAUUUUGCUGGCGUUCAUCGUGGGAAGUGCACUCUGUGCCCCUAGAAUUCAACCCCACUUUGAGCUGAAGUUCAAGUCAGGUACUCAGGUUGCUGGUGCACCACCAGCAGCUCCUGAUGCUGCAACUCUGCAAGCGAUCCUAGCUGCUUUGUCCACUCUGCAGCAACCCGGGAAAGUAUCAACUGUUCCAUCCCAGGUCUUCAUCAAGCAGGACAUUCCCCAGGCACCAGGUCAAGAAAGUGUUGAAUUACUCUACCCCAUAAACCUGGGACCUGCACCUGAUCCAGCUUCCCCAGUGGUCCCAGUCGUCCCAGCUGUCCGUGAACAUAUUGUGGCUCCCGUUGUCCCCGUAGCACCUGCUCGCUACAACAACGAUGAUGAUGAUGAACAUGACGAGUAAAUAGAUAGAGUUCCAGGAACAGAGCCUCAAGCAUGUGAUCUGCAAACCUUUUGCAAUGUGAUCUGAUACAAAUUAAUGCUACGCAAUAGUCCCACAGUCCUCUUAUGUUGAACAUAAUUAGCUGCUUUGAAAAUGCUUGCACUGAAAAUAAACUGCCAAAGCAUGUGUCCA